rnacentral:rRNA from 1 species
UACGAAGGGUGCAAACGUUGCUCGGAAUUAUUUGGGCGUAAAGAGCUCGUAGGCGGUUUGUCGCGUCUGCUGUGAAAACCGGAGGCUCAACCUCCGGCCUGCAGUGGGUACGGGCAAACUAGAGUGCGGUAGGGGAGAUUGGAAUUCCUGGUGUAGCGGUGGAAUGCGCAGAUAUCAGGAGGAACACCGAUGGCGAAGGCAGAUCUCUGGGCCGUAACUGACGCUGAGGAGCGAAAGCGUGGGGAGCGAACAGG